rnacentral:rRNA from 1 species
CCUAACACAUGCAAGUCGAACGCGAAAGCCCCGCAAGGGGUAAGUAGAGUGGCAAACGGGUGAGUAACACGUGGGUGACCUGCCUUAGAGUGGGGGAUAACGUCCCGAAAGGGACGCUAAUACCGCAUAACAUCCUGCCUUUGAAGAGGUGGAGAUCAAAGCCGGGGACCGCAAGGCCUGGCGCUCAAGGAGGGGCCCGCGCCUGAUUAGCUAGUUGGUGAGGUAAUGGCUCACCAAGGCAACGAUCAGUAUCCGGCCUGAGAGGGCGGACGGACACACUGGGACUGAGACACGGCCCAGACUCCUACGGGAGGCAGCAGUGGGGAAUUGUUCGCAAUGGGCGCAAGCCUGACGACGCAACGCCGCGUGGAGGAUGAAGACCUUCGGGUCGUAAACUCCUUUCGAUCGAGACGAAUGGCCCUUGGGUAAACAGCUCAGGGGUAUGACGGUACCGAGAGAAGAAGCCCCGGCUAACUCCGUGCCAGCAGCCCGCGGUAAUACGGGGGGGGCAAGCGUUGUUCGGAAUUACUGGCGUAAAGGGCUCGUAGGUGGCAACUAAGUCAGACGUGAAAUCCCUCGGCUUAACCGGGGAACUGCGUCUGAUACUGGAUGGCUUGAGUUCGGGAGA